GGGGCUGACAGGUUUUGACAACAAGAAUAAUUUUUUAGCUAGCAUGUCGAGCUUGUAAUUUUCUCGUUAAACAUAAUUACAACUUUUUUAAUUGGCGAAAAUAAUUACGCUUUAGCUGCUUAAUUAAUAAUUAAUUAGCUUUUGUCUCUUGUAAAUCNUCCUAACGAUUUACUUUGAGGCAUCAUAUUUGUUAGGAUANUUAAAAUANUUUCUCGCUAUUUUAAUGANNAUUAGAGANUUGAAUUAUUUNUUUGGUUUUCAUUACAACCUUAAUAAUUUGAAAUUAAAGUAAUGAUAAGCAUGUAGAACCCUUUUAAAUUGCUUGUUUGGACGUGGGUUCAAAUCCCACCAGCUCCACUU
rnacentral:tmRNA from 1 species